GACGAACGCUGGCGGCGUGCCUAAUACAUGCAAGUCGAGCGAAUGACGAGAAGCUUGCUUCUCUGAUUUAGCGGCGGACGGGUGAGUAACACGUGGGCAACCUGCCCUACAGAUCGGGAUAACUCAGGGAAACCUGGGCUAAUACCGGAUAAUCCUUCGAAUCACAUGUUUUGAAGUUGAAAGGCGCUUCGGCGUCACUGUAGGAUGGGCCCGCGGUGCAUUAGCUAGUUGGUGGGGUAACGGCCUACCAAGGCAACGAUGCAUAGCCGACCUGAGAGGGUGAUCGGCAACAUUGGGACUGAGACACGGCCCAAACUACGAAGGGAGGCAGCAGUAGGGAAUCUUCCGAAAUGGGCGAAAGUCGGAUGGAGCAACGCCGCGGGAGUGAUGAAGGUGUUCGGGUCGUAAAACUCUGUUGUAAGGGAAGAACAAGGACGUUAGGAAAUGAACGUACCUUGACGGUACCUUAUGAGAAAGCCACGGCUAACUACGUGCCAGCCGCCGCCGUAA
rnacentral:rRNA from 1 species